rnacentral:rRNA from 1 species
UACGUAGGGGGCGAGCGUUGUCCGGAGUACUGGGCGUAAAGCGCACGCAGGCGGUCUGCUAAGUUUGGAGUGACAGUUGGUGGCUUAACUGCCAAAGUGCUUCGAAAACUGACAGACUUGAGGGCUUCAGAGGGACACGGAAUUCCGGGUGGAGUGGUGAAUGCGUAGAGAUCCGGAGGAACACCGGUGGCGAAGGCGGGUCUCUGGGCCGAUACUGACGCUGAGGAGCGAAAGCGUGGGGAGCGAACAGG